rnacentral:rRNA from 1 species
AUUGAACGCUGGCGGCAGGCCUAACACAUGCAAGUCGAGCGCGCGGCGGACGGGUGAGUAAUGUAUCGGAAGUGCCCAGUAGCGGGGGAUAACUACUCGAAAGAGUGGCUAAUACCGCAUAUUAUUGGAGGGCCCAUAUCGGAUAAGCUAGUGGGUGGGGUAAAGGCUCACCAAGGCAACGAUCCGUAGCUGGUUUGAGAGGACGACCAGCCACACGGGGACUGAGACACGGCCCAGACUCCUACGGAGGCAGCAGUGGGGAAUAUUGCACAAUGGGCGCAAGCCGGAUGCAGCCAUGCCGCGUGUAUGAAGAAGGCCUUAGGGUUGUAAAGUACUUUCAGUCGGGAGGCGUUACCGACAGAAGAAGCACCGGCUAACUCCGUGCCAGCAGCCGCGGUAAUAC